UACGGAGGAUCCGAGCGUUAUCCGGAUUUACUGGGUUUAAAGGGUGCGUAGGUGGAAUGUCAAGUCAGUGGUGAAAACCUGCAGCUUAACUGUAGAACUGCCAUUGAUACUGUCAUUCUUGAGUAUAUUUGAUGUAAGUGGAAUGUGUCGUGUAGCGGUGAAAUGCUUAGAUAUGACACAGAACACCCAUUGCGAAGGCAGCUUACAAAACUAUUACUGACACUGAGGCACGAAAGCGUGGGGAUCAAACAGG
rnacentral:rRNA from 1 species